AACGCUGGCGGUAGGCCUAACACAUGCAAGUCGAACGGCAGCACAGUAAGAGCUUGCUCUUACGGGUGGCGAGUGGCGGCGGACGGGGGAGGAAUACAUCGGAAUCUACCUUUUCGUGGGGGUAACGUAGGGAAAACUUACGCUAAUACCGCAUACGACCUUCGGGUGAAAGCAGGGACCUUCGGGCCUUGCGCGGAUAGAUGAGCCGAUGUCGGAUUAGCUAGUUGGCGGGGUAAAGGCCCACCAAGGCGACGAUCCGUA
rnacentral:rRNA from 1 species